GUUGACCUCGAAUCAGGUAGGAAUACCCGCUGAA
rnacentral:rRNA from 1 species